AUUGAACGCUGGCGGCAGGCCUAACACAUGCAAGUCGAGCGAGCGGCGGACGGGUGAGUAAUGUAUGGGGACUGCCCGAUCGAGGGGGAUAACUAAUGGAAACGGUGGCUAAUACCGAAUAAUAUCGGAUGACCAAUAGGGUAUUAUCUAGUAGGUGUGGGAAAGGUUCACCAAGGCUACGAUCUAUAGCUGGUCUGAGAGGAUGAUCAGCCACACUGGGACUGAGCAACUGCCCAGACGCCUACGGAGGCAGCAGUGGGUAAUAUUUGACAAUGGGCGCAAGCCUGAUGCAGCCAUGCCGCGUGUAUGAAGAAGGCCUUAGGGUUGUAAAGUACUUUCAGCGGGGAGGCGUUACCCGCCGAAGAAGCACCGGCUAACUCCGUGCCAGCAGCCGCGGUAAUUC
rnacentral:rRNA from 1 species